ACCUUCGGUGAGGGAAAAACUAAGUGUCAACAUCACUAUCUGGGUACUCCUUCCUGAGUACGGUGCCAAUACCAGAAUGGCAGAAUCAUUUCAUCCUCCCAGAUGAAAUGAAAUCCUUUGCAUACCUUGGAGGCAAUCGCAGUUUUCGACCUCCUUGCGGACGACGUGCAUGGAAUCGAUGAGCUCGGCGCCCUCGUUGUAGACGUGUAGUGCUCAGACAGCCCAGUUGAUUCCACCCGCAACAGAUUGGUGGAAGACGAAGUUGUCGGGGUUGAA
rnacentral:sRNA from 1 species